CGCGGCCUAUCAGCUUGUUGGUGAGGUAACGGCUCACCAAGGCAUCGACGGGUAGCUGGUCUGAGAGGACGAUCAGCCACACUGGAACUGAGACACGGUCCAGACUCCUACGGGAGGCAGCAGUAGGGAAUCUUGCACAAUGGGCGAAAGCCUGAUGCAGCGACGCCGCGUGGGGGAUGAAGGCCUUCGGGUUGUAAACCCCUUUCAGUAGGGACGAAAAUGACGGUACCUACAGAAGAAGUUCCGGCCAACUACGUGCCAGCAGCCGCGGUAACACGUAGGGGACAAGCGUUGUCCGGAUUUAUUGGGCGUAAAGAGCUCGUAGGUGGUUCCGUAAGUCGGAUGUGAAAACUCAAGGCUCAACCUUGAGACGCCACCCGAUACUGCGGUGACUUGAGUUCGGUAGAGGAGUGUGGAAUUCCUGGUGUAGCGGUGAAAUGCCCAGAUAUCAGGAGGAACACCGACAGCGAAGGCAGCACUCUGGGCCGAUACUGACACUGAGGAGCGAAAGCGUGGGGAGCAAACAGGAUUAGAUACCCUGGUAGUCCACGCCGUAAACGUUGGGCACUAGGUGUGGGGAUUUAUCAACGAUCUCCGCGCCGUCGCUAACGCAUUAAGUGCCCCGCCUGGGGAGUACGG
rnacentral:rRNA from 1 species